rnacentral:rRNA from 1 species
UUGGAGGGCAAGUCUGGUGCCAGCAGCCGCGGUAAUUCCAGCUCCAAUAGCGUAUAUUAAAGUUGUUGCAGUUAAAAAGCUCGUAGUUGAAUUUCGGGAUUGACACAUCGGUCGUGCCUUAAGGGGUAUGAACUGGUGCAGUCAAUUUCUCACCUUCUGGAGAACCGCGAUGCCCUUAAUUGGGUGUCACGGGGAACCAGGACCUUUACUUUGAAAAAAUUAGGGUGUUUAAAGCAGGCAUUUUGCUUGAAUACAUUAGCAUGGAAUAAUAAAAUAGGACGGCAUGAUUCUAUUUUGUUGGUUUCUAGGAUCACCGUAAUGAUUAAUAGGGAUAGUUGGGGGCAUUAGUAUUCAAUUGUCAGAGGUGAAAUUCUUGGAUUUAUUGAAGACUAACUACUGCGAAAGCAUUUGCCAAGGAUGUUUUCAUUAAUCAAGAACGAAAGUUAGGGGAUCGAAGACGAUCAGAUACCGUCGUAGUCUUAACCAUAAACUAUGCCGACUAGGAAUCAGACGAUGUUAAUUUUUUAAUGACUCGUUUGGCACCUUACGGGAAACCAAAGUGUUUGGGUUC